GCCCAGACUCCUACGGGAGGCAGCAGUGGGGAAUAUUGCACAAUGGGGGGAACCCUGAUGCAGCGACGCCGCGUGGGUGAAGGAGCGUUUCGGCGCGUAAAGCCCUAUCGGCAGGGAAGAAGGAGGACGGUACCUGACUAAGAAGCCCCGGCUAACUACGUGCCAGCAGCCGCGGUAAUACGUAGGGGGCAAGCGUUAUCCGGAUUUACUGGGGGUAAAGGGGGCGCAGACGGCAGCGCAAGCCAGGAGUGAAAGCCCGGGGCCCAACCCCGGGACUGCAUUGGGAACUACCGGGCUGGAGUGCCGGAGAGGUAGGCGGAAUUCCUAGUGUAGCGGUGAAAUGCGUAGAUAUUAGGAGGAACACCAGUGGCGAAGGCGGCCUACUGGACGGUGACUGACGCUGAGGCUCGAAAGCGUGGGGAGCAAACAGGAUUAGAUACCCCCGUAA
rnacentral:rRNA from 1 species